GCAUGCAGUCGCACGGACCUUCGGGUCAGUGGCGGACGGGUGAGUAACACGUGGGUAACCUGCCUCGCAGUGGGGAAUAACCCGUCGAAAGACGGGCUAAUACCGCAUACCACUCCCGGUGAGAAUCCGGGUAGUAAAAGUAGUAAUGCGCUGUGAGAGGGGCCCGCGGCCGAUUAGCUUGUUGGUGGGGUAAUGGCCUACCAAGGCGACGAUCGGUAGCUGGUCUGAGAGGAUGGUCAGCCACACGGGGACUGAGAUACGGCCCCGACUCCUACGGGAGGCAGCAGCUAAGAAUCUUGCGCAAUGGGCGAAAGCCUGACGCAGCAACGCCGCGUGGAGGAUGAAGGCCCUCGGGUCGUAAACUCCUUUUGCGAGGGAAGAAGAUCUGACGGUACCUCGCGAAUAAGCCACGGCUAACUACGUGCCAGCAGCCGCGGUAAUACGUAGGUGGCGAGCGUUGUCCGGAUUUACUGGGCGUAAAGAGCCCGCAGGCGGUCCGAUAAGUUCCUGGUGAAAUCUCCUGGCUCAACUGGGAGGGUGCCUGGAAAACUGUCGGACUUGAGGCAUGGAGAGGGAUGUGGAAUUCCCGGUGUAGUGGUGAAAUGCGUAGAUAUCGGGAGGAACACCAGUGGCGAAGGCGGCAUC
rnacentral:rRNA from 1 species